UAUCUCAGUUCAGUUCAUGACCCCUUAAAAAAAAAAAAAAAAAAAAAAUUCACCCCAAAAGGAAAAUGAUGCCAUUAUUUGCCUUGAAAAAAAAUAAAUAAAUAACAGCAUAGGGGUUUUGAGGUGAGUAAAUACUGACCCAAUUUUAAUAUUUGGCUGAAUUAUUUGGCUCUUUAACUUCACAAGACUAAUGAAGUGGGAUAAUUCCUCACUGAUGAUCCCUGAAAUUGCUUGUGCAAUCACAUGCAUGUGGAACGAAUCCGGUACAUUGAGUUAUUAGUCUUUGUGCAAUCCUUGCACAAAACUUUUUAAUGCUUCGUAUUUAUGACUUCAGCAUUUUGUGCACUGUUUUAUCAUUAUUUCUAAAUUGCCGAGACCACCUUGUUGGUCCCUCGAGUAGCUCAUUUAUUUAAUAGUGAGGUUAUACUUGAAACCACGCAGCCAUGUUUCUAACUUUCUGGAGCAUAUUAACACUGCCUCAAGAAAAAAAAAAAAAAGCUUUUCCACCAGCACCAUCUCUCUCGCUAGUCCAU